rnacentral:lncRNA from 1 species
AUGAAGUUUGCAUGGAGGGCUGGCCAGCAAGUCCCUGCUCCUGCCCUUGGCUCUCCCCAAGGUCAUCCCAGGUCACCAAGAUUCUUCCCGACUGAGAUGUGUUGCUCUUGCAGACCAAGAUGUUUAUUAAUUCUUCUAAUUCAAUACAUUCUUUGUCUACCAAGAAAACAGGAUAUACCAAGCUUGCAUUACCACAUGCAGAAUCUCUUACAAGUGAAGGAUGGAUACCAAGAAAAUUUGGGACCAAGCAUAAAGUCUGAGCAAACUCCAGGAGCUAGUGAAGGACAGAGAAGCCUGGCAUGCUGCAGUCCACGAGGUCGCAGAGUCAGACGCAACUUAGUGACUGAACAACAACAAAACGUGAGAGCCGCAGAGUUUGACUUAGUGUCGUAUUGUGAUUUGUAAUAAGAAAUAUUUAUUUGGUCUUUGUCCCCAUUUCUGGCACAGA